ensembl:processed_transcript
UACGUUUGUAGUUAUAUUGCCUGCAAUAUUCCGUUUUUUCAUUAUUCACUUACCAACUAUAGGAUUCAAGUACAUCUGUGGUGAGGAAGAGAGACGUGGCUCUGAGAUGCCUCAUCGAAUACAUGGGAGAGAGUGGGCAAAAGCUGAUCUCUGACUACUAUAUGUGGUGGGCAUCAUCAUUGAGGGCAUCCCUGUGCUUACUCGUCUUGGAAACCACGCCAGGGCUAUGAACUUGCAGUUUUCACCACAACUCAGCAAAACAUUUCAGGUGUUUCAAAGACAUUUUGUGGGACUUGACACACAGCGUCCAAAGUCUUCCUCCUGAUUCAUGACAUAAAAACUUCUGAGUUAGUUAAUUAGUUGCCGCUCAGAGGUUCUGUUUCUUUGCUUCAUCACUUUUGUUCAAUGGACAGUUUGACUUGGAACAAUGUGGUAGUCACGCACCGACUUCUUCAGUUUCUGGAUAAGUCUGCAGCAAAUAUGGGCAUUUGAUUUGCUUUUGUAUAUAUGGGGCAAAGUUUGUUUUGUUAUGUCAAAUGCUGAGAUCAGAGGCACUUUAUUUUUUUUAUUUCAAUGUUGUAGUACAUAUGAAAAUGUACUGUACUGUGCAC